rnacentral:rRNA from 1 species
AUACGUAGGGGGCGAGCGUUGUCCGGAAUGAUUGGGCGUAAAGGGCGCGUAGGCGGCCCGGUAAGUCUGGAGUGAAAGUCCUGUUUUUAAGAUGGGAAUUGCUUUGGAUACUGUCGGGCUUGAGUGCAGGAGAGGUAAGUGGAAUUCCCAGUGUAGCGGUGAAAUGCGUAGAGAUUGGGAGGAACACCAGUGGCGAAGGCGGGUAACUGGACUGCAACUGACGCUGAGGCGCGAAAGUGCGGGGAGCAAACAGGAUUAGAUACCCUGGUAGUCCACACUGUAAACGAUGAAUGCUAGGUGUAAGAGGUAUCGACCCCUUUUGUGCCGGAGUCAACACAAUAAGCAUUCCGCCUGGGGAGUACGGCCGCAAGGUUGAAACUCAAAUGAAUUGGCGGGG